rnacentral:rRNA from 1 species
UGGGGAAUAUUGGACAAUGGGGGAAACCCUGAUCCAGCAAUGCCGCGUGGGUGAUGAAGGUCUUCGGAUUGUAAAGCCCUUUUGGCGGGGACGAUGAUGACGGUACCCGCAGAAUAAGCUCCGGCUAACUUCGUGCCAGCAGCCGCGGUAAUACGAAGGGAGCAAGCGUUGUUCGGAUUUACUGGGCGUAAAGGGUGCGUAGGUGGCUAGGUAAGUUGGAUGUGAAAGCCCUGGGCUUAACUCAGGAAUUGCAUUCAAAACUCUCUAGCUAGAGUAUGGAAGAGGAUGGUGGAAUUCCCAGUGUAGAGGUGAAAUUCGUAGAUAUUGGGAAGAACACCCGUGGCGAAGGCGGCCAUCUGGUCCAUUACUGACACUGAGGCACGAAAGCGUGGGGAGCAAA